GGUGGAGCCCGCGGUGCACCUGCGGCUGAGAGGUGGAGAAAAGCUGGAUCCAGAUUGGCCGAGAGCUCCGCCCAUCCUGCAACCGCAGCCAGCGAUACUCCAUCAACUCUGACCCUGCGCGAACACGCUCGGCGUUUGAGUUUGAGCAGCGCGCCCCAUGAAAGUCAGCAAGCCGAUGACAUCGCAGAGGGCGCCGUGAGAGCAAGACGCAAGUUCCUCACUGGGACAGGAAAAGCGGAAGGCAAUCGCAAAGCUAA